rnacentral:tRNA from 1 species
UGCAUCGGCCGGGUUUCGAACCCGGGCCGCCCGCAUGGCAGGCGAGCAAUCUACCACUGAACCACCGAUGC